GAUGAACGCUGGCGGCGUGCUUAACACAUGCAAGUCGAACGGGAAACCUUUUAUUGAAGCUUCGGCAGAUUUAGCUGGUUUCUAGUGGCGGACGGGUGAGUAACGCGUGGGUAACCUGCCUUAUACAGGGGGAUAACAGUCAGAAAUGGCUGCUAAUACCGCAUAAGCGCACAGAGCUGCAUGGCUCAGUGUGAAAAACUCCGGUGGUAUAAGAUGGACCCGCGUUGGAUUAGCUGGUUGGUGGGGUAACGGCCCACCAAGGCGACGAUCCAUAGCCGGCCUGAGCGGGUGAACGGCCACAUUGGGACUGAGACACGGCCCAGACUCCUACGGGAGGCAGCAGUGGGGAAUAUUGCACAAUGGGGGAAACCCUGAUGCAGCGACGCCGCGUGAAGGAAGAAGUAUCUCGGUAUGUAAACUUCUAUCAGCAGGGAAGAUAAUGACGGUACCUGACGAAGAAGCCCCGGCUAACUACGUG
rnacentral:rRNA from 1 species